rnacentral:rRNA from 1 species
GAGCGCCCGUAGCAAUACGGGAGCGGCAGACGGGAGAGUAACACGUGGGAACGUACCCUUCGGUUCGGAAUAACCCAGGGAAACUUGGGCUAAUACCGGAUACGUCCGUAAGGAGAAAGAUUUAUCGCCGAAGGAUCGGCCCGCGUCCGAUUAGCUAGUUGGUGAGGUAACGGCUCACCAAGGCGACGAUCGGUAGCUGGUCUGAGAGGAUGAUCAGCCUCACUGGGACUGAGACACGGCCCAGACUCCUACGGGAGGCAGCAGUGGGGAAUAUUGGACAAUGGGCGCAAGCCUGAUCCAGCCAUGCCGCGUGGGUGAUGAAGGCCCUAGGGUUGUAAAGCCCUUUCGGCGGGGAAGAUAAUGACGGUACCCGCAGAAGAAGCCCCGGCUAACUUCGUG